UACGGAGGUAGCUAGCGUUGUUCGGAAUUACUGGGCGUAAAGCGCGCGUAGGCGGCUUUGUAAGUUAGAGGUGAAAGCCCGGGGCUCAACCCCGGAAUUGCCUUUAAGACUGCAUCGCUUGAAUCCGGGAGAGGUGAGUGGAAUUCCGAGUGUAGAGGUGAAAUUCGUAGAUAUUCGGAAGAACACCAGUGGCGAAGGCGGCUCACUGGACCGGCAUUGACGCUGAGGUGCGAAAGCGUGGGGAGCAAACAGG
rnacentral:rRNA from 1 species